AUGCUCGCUUCAGCAGCACACAUAUACUAAAAUUGGAACAAUACAGAAAAGAUUAGCAUGGCCCCUGUGCAAGGAUGACAUGCAAAUUCAUGAAGCAUUCCAUAUUUGG
ensembl:snRNA U6 U6 spliceosomal RNA